rnacentral:rRNA from 1 species
CCUACGGGUGGCUGCAGUGGGGAAUAUUGGGCAAUGGAGGAAACUCUGACCCAGCAACGCAGCGUGAAGGAUGAAGGUUUUAGGAUUGUAAACUUCUGUCGCGAGGGACGAAGAAUGACGGUACCUCGUAAGAAAGCACCGGCUAACUACGUGCCAGCAGCCGCGGUAAUACGUAGGGGGCGAGCGUUGUCCGGAAUGACUGGGCGUAAAGGGAGUGUAGGCGGCAAUAUAAGUUAGAUGUGAAAGCCUGCGGCUCAACCGCGGAAUUGCAACUAAAACUAGAUAGCUGGAGUGCAGGAGAGGUGGGUGGAAUUCGUAGUGUAGCGGUGGAAUGCGUAGAUAUGAGGAGGAACUCC